CAGGUUAGUUAUUUGUAUGUGGUUGUUGUGUACAAGAAAUGUUAUAAAAGUGAGUUGACAUACACAUUUUAUUAGAGCAGCUGCCGAUGUAGCAUUUGUGUUCAUCAAACUUAAAUAUUUAAAAAUUAUUGUAAGUUGGCAUUAUCCUUUUUUCACUGGCGGGGACUUUCCCACGCAGGUGCAGCAUUUUUCUCGGCUGUUGUUCGCUGCAGCGGAUCUGGAUUUCAGGGACUGGUUAACACGGACCCAUCUGCCUCUGUGGAGAAAAGGAGAGAAGUGGUCCUGAGAUGCCUGAUUGAGUAUGUGGGGGAGAGACAGGAAGACCUCAUCAGUGUCCACCACAGUCAUGAUGAAACAGAGGUGCACGCUGAGCUUGGCAGUUGCCCACUGAAAAUUUACAUAUGCCAUCAGCCCGACAUGAUUGGGAUCAUCAUAGAAGGACAGCCUGUGGUCAGAGGUGUGCCAAACCUGUCGAAAGCAUGCUGCCUCCUGUUUGGACUUACCUAUGCCCUCGACCUCAAGUAUCCCUCAAAAAUGGUGUAUACCUUUGUAUAUAUAUAUAUAUAUGUAUGUAUAUAUAUUAUAUCUCUUUGUGGGAUUGGACGCCAUGCGUCCUAAGCCAUCAUCCAAGUAUGCAAAUCUCCUUACCAAGUUGUCUUAGAUUAUUUCUCAGUGGCAUCUGACAUUUAUUGGCUGUUUUGUAGUCCCUGUUAAAAGUGAAACUGGUUGACAUUGAAUAAAUGUUAUUGUUUUCAA